rnacentral:rRNA from 1 species
UUCUUUUCCCCACUACGAGCAUAAAGCUUAAAAAUCAAAGGACCUGGCGGUUCAUUAGAUCCCUCUAGAGGAGCCUGUUCUGUAACCGAUAACCCCCGUUUAACCUCACCUCUCCUUACUAAAUUAGUCUAUAUACCACCGUCGCCAGUUUACCCUGUGAAGGACUAGUAGUAAUCACAAUCGGCACAACCCAGGACGUCAGGUCGAGGUGUAGCUCAUGGAGGGGGAAAGAAAUGGGCUACAUUCACUUUAACAGUGCACACGAACGACGCAUUGAAAACAUAUGCGUGCUAAAGGAGGAUUUAGUAGUAAGAGGUGAACAGAGCGCACCACUGAAUAGGGCUCUGAAGAGCGCACACACCGCCCGUCACCCUCUGCAGUCAAA